rnacentral:misc_RNA from 1 species
GUACGCACGAAGCGGGACGGCGGGACCAUGCUGGAGCUGCUUUUUUCAUACGCUCUACGUCUUCGAGAAACAGCAGUCCUGCCUCUCUUCAAUAUCUGAAGAGCACAUUAUGCUAUCAAGAAAAUGCUCACUGCUGAAACAGCACCACACGUUAACAGCAAGCGGAAGAGUAAUGUAUCUGCAGUUCAAGCAGUGCAAAGGUGUUCCUUCUAGAUCGGAUGGAGCUUGGAAGUAUUUCAAGACGUUGCAGCUCAGGUGCCCAUGGGCCAAAGGGCCUUCAUUGUUGCAAAAGAUGUGUCGCCGGCAGACGCUGCUGUGCAAGGUGCUGCUUCUAUUGUUCUUGCGCCAGCUGUCACCCAUCACGCCGGCACCACUACGACUGGUUUUGCCACAAGCGUCUUGGUGUCCUGAUGUUGCAGAGAAUUGUUGUGUGACCACAUCGUCAGCAAAGUAUGAAGCAUCAUCAUUUCCACCGCAUCCCGCCUCGCAAUUCUGGAUGGUACAGCGUUGAUGGAACAGUCAGUGAACAAAUCUGCGCAAUACUGUUGCAUUGUGGAAAUCAUACAGGUACCAUGGGUGUUAAGAAGUUUUGAUAUUCCUUCUAUGUAAUAUAAAUUCGAUAUUUAAAGAUAAUUAAAUGAAAUAAAGCUUCUCUGACAAUUUUUAUUUACACAAUAUGUUGAAUGCCUUUGAUGUAUUUUGUUUUAUAAUUCUAGGACAAUAAAGUUUGAUUUCAGUGAAG